AACAGCUGCGGUAUUUUAACUGUACUAAGGUAGCAUAAUAAUUUGCCUUAUAAUUUGAGGCUAGAAUGAAUGGUUUGACGAAGGUUAGUCUGUCUCUAUUUUACUUUUUAGAAGUUAAUUUUCAUAGUGAAAAAGCUUGAAUUUUUUAAAGGGACGAGAAGACCCUAUUGAGCUUAUAAUUUUAUUAAUUAUCAAUAAUUUUCUUGUAUUUAUAUGGUGAUUUAUAAAUUUUAAUUGGGGUGAUUAAGGAAUAAAAAGUUUAUUUAUAAGUAACUUCCUUAGAUAAUUUAUAAUAUAUUGUUAGAUGAAGUAACCAAUAAAAGUAGUUAGGUAUAAAUAUUGCUUAUAAUAUAGUUACCAUAGGGAUAACAGCGUAAUUUAUUUAGAGAGUUCUUAUUGAAAAAUAAGAUUGCGACCUCGAUGUUGGAUUAAAGUAACCUUAAGGUGCAGAAGCUUUAGUAGGUAAAUCUGUUCGAUUUUUAAAACUUUACGUGAUCUGA
rnacentral:rRNA from 1 species